rnacentral:rRNA from 1 species
CGCAGCCGCGGUAAUACAGAGGGUGCGAGCGUUAAUCGGAUUUACUGGGCGUAAAGCGUGCGUAGGCGGCUUCUUAAGUCGGAUGUGAAAUCCCUGAGCUUAACUUAGGAAUUGCAUUCGAUACUGGGAAGCUAGAGUAUGGGAGAGGAUGGUAGAAUUCCAGGUGUAGCGGUGAAAUGCGUAGAGAUCUGGAGGAAUACCGAUGGCGAAGGCAGCCAUCUGGCCUAAUACUGACGCUGAGGUACGAAAGCAUGGGGAGCAAACAGGAUUAGAUACCCGCGUAGUCCCUGUCUCUUAUACA